rnacentral:rRNA from 1 species
GAUGAACGCUGGCGGCGUGCCUAAUACAUGCAAGUCGAGCGAACAGACGAGGAGCUUGCUCCUCUGACGUUAGCGGCGGACGGGUGAGUAACACGUGGAUAACCUACCUAUAAGACUGGGAUAACUUCGGGAAACCGGAGCUAAUACCGGAUAAUAUAUUGAACCGCAUGGUUCAAUAGUGAAAGACGGUUUUGCUGUCACUUAUAGAUGGAUCCGCGCCGCAUUAGCUAGUUGGUAAGGUAACAGCUUACCAAGGCAACGAUGCGUAGCCGACCUGAGAGGGUGAUCGGCCACACUGGAACUGAGACACGGUCCAGACUCCUACGGGAGGCAGCAGUAGGGAAUCUUCCGCAAUGGGCGAAAGCCUGACGGAGCAACGCCGCGUGAGUGAUGAAGGUCUUCGGAUCGUAAAACUCUGUUAUUAGGGAAGAACAAAUGUGUAAGUAACUAUGCACGUCUUGACGGUACCUAAUCAGAAGGCCACGGCUAACUACGUG